CAGGCGCCUUCUUCCAACCCGGAGGUCGACAGCGCUGCCUUGGAAAGGGAAGCUGAAAUUCAUGUACAAACCCUGGGUCCCCAGCUGUUUUGUGAAAAUUGAUGAUCAAACAGAGGAGAGACCCUCAAAUUACUGUCUUGUUCUGGCAAAAGAGUUCAUCCAGUUGACCAGACAGCGCGUGUGUGUGGACUGCCCCAGUUAACACACAGGUAUUAUCAGGCCAGCUACGGAGAAAUUUCAUCUGAUUUCUGGUGUCUUUGCAGUCUGUGCGACCAAGGCUUGAAACUUCAAACUAACUGGCUGUUGCGUUAAUUCAGACUUGCGCUGGGUUCCUGGCUGCAUGACUGAGAGCUGAUUUUGCUCUCCAGAGAGCUGGAUUAGUCCUUUGAGAUGCACGUCACCACUUCGACAGUUCUGGGAGGAUUCUUUCUGA